rnacentral:tmRNA from 1 species
UUUCUUGACUUUCUCCAAAAAAUGUUUUACAAUAAAGUCGCCUAUAAGGCUAUGAUAAUAAAUUGUAUGCGCAAUAGACGCGAUGGACCCGGGGGCGGUACCCGGCAUCUCCACCAGAUUUUUGUUAGGGGAUGAACCAGUUUUGACGUCCGUUAAAAGGCAUAUUUUUAUCCAGUAAGACAUCGCUGCCCCUUUUGGGGAAAGAAUUCAACAAUUUAGACGCAAAUGAUAAUUUUGCCGAUGUUGCAUUGGCUGCAUAGUCUUCGGACUUAUCCCAAUGGGGAUAUAUAUGCGCUUAAAUAGCGCGCAGUUAGGCGACAGGGGUUUGGGGGAACCUUUCAACAGAAAUCCCCCGACA